UACGAAGGGGGCUCGCGUUGCUCGGAAUCACUGGGCGUAAAGCGCACGUAGGCGGCUUUUUAAGUCAGGGGUGAAAUCCUGGAGCUCAACUCCAGAACUGCCUUUGAUACUGAGAAGCUUGAGUCCGGGAGAGGUGAGUGGAACUGCGAGUGUAGAGGUGAAAUUCGUAGAUAUUCGCAAGAACACCAGUGGCGAAGGCGGCUCACUGGCCCGGUACUGACGCUGAGGUGCGAAAGCGUGGGGAGCAAACAGG
rnacentral:rRNA from 1 species